rnacentral:rRNA from 1 species
GACGAACGCUGGCGGCGUGCCUAAUACAUGCAAGUCGAACGCAGUGGGGACGGGUGAGUAACACGUGGGUAACCUCCCAUCAGAGGGGAUACCACUUGGAAACAGGUGCUAAACCGAUAUUGAUGGCUGGACCCGCGGUGCAUGAGCUAGUUGGUGAGGUAACGGCUCACCAAGGCCACGAUGCAUAGCCGACCGGAGAGGGUGAUCGGCCACAGUGGGACGGGUCCACGGCCCAGCCUCCUCCGGGAGGCAGCAUUAGGUAAGCUUGGGCAAUGGACGAAAGUCUGACCGAGCAACGCCGCGUGAGUGAAGAAGGUUUUCGGAUCGUAAAACUCUGUUGUUAGAGAAGCGGUAUCUAACCAGAAAGCCACGGCUAACUACGGGCCAGCAGCCGCGGUAAUAC